rnacentral:lncRNA from 1 species
GUUCUUUAUUUGAAUUUUGGGGUUCACAUAUAAGAGAAAUCAUGCAAUAUCUAAGCUUGUGUGUCUGAUUCAUUUUGGUUAACAUUAUGGUCUCAAAGUGCAUCCAUUUUCCUACAAAUUACUCAAGUUUUAUCCUUCUUCAUGGCAGAAAAUUACUUCAUUAUGUAUAUAAAUAUCACAUCGUUUUUAACCAUUCAUCUGUUCAUGAACAUAUAACAUUCAAGAUUUAGCUAUUAUAAUUUGUGCUGCUAUAAACAUAUUAAUGCAUAUCACUGCAAUAUGACAUCUUUCACUCUUGUGAGAAGACACAUAGCUGGAUCAGAUGGAAUUUCUACUUUAGUUUUUUUUUUUUUAGUUCUCCAUUUAUAACAUAUAAAGAACUCAAAAAAAUUAGAGCCCCCAAAAUAAAAGACCCAAUCAAAAGAUGGACAUCUGAAAUGAAUAGACACUUCUUACAUGAAGCAUAAAUGGCCAAUAAAACGCAUAAAUGUUCAACAUCACUGAUCAUUAGAGAAAUGCAAAUGACAACACUGAGAUUUCAUUUCACUCCUGAAAGAACGGCUAUCAUCAAACAAUCAAUAACAAAUAGUUGGUACUGGCAAAGCUGUGGGGACAAAAGAACCCUGCUACACUGUAGGUGGAAAUGUAUAUUAGUAAAACCACUAUGGAAUGCAUUUGAUUUGAUUUGAAUAUGUUUUUAAGGUAGGGUCUUGUUAUGUAGUUCAGGCUGGCCUUGAACUCACUAUGUAGCCCAUGCUCCCCUUGAACUCAUGGUGAGCUUCCUGCCUCAGCCUUCUGAGUACUGGGAUUACAGGUGUACAUGACCACAGGUAGCUGGAAUACAUUGUAAAAUUGGAAAUACUAUUUUAUCAAAGGAAUGGACUUUGUCCUUGUGUUUUUAUAUUUCAUCAUUCAUUGCCAUUUGAUAUUUAUAAAUAUGAGUGUGUAUAUGUGAGUGUAUAUGCAAAGGAUUAUAUUUCACUGUUUUUGUACAGUUUUGUACAAAGUAUAGUGGAU